rnacentral:lncRNA from 1 species
AAAAGUUCUUCGUGGCCAUGGAGAGAUGCAAAAGUCAUUCGCUUGCAUGUUGAGAAUAAAAGCUCAUGUUACCCUGCAAGAGCAAUGGGUAAAUGAAGACAGAGCUCGAUUUAAUGCCUGGCUAGAUAAAGAAAAUUUUCCUUACGUUUCUGAUUACAGAUCAAUUCCAUUUGAAAAAUGGUUAGGUCCAAAGGCCGGGGGGCAAUUUUCCGCUCCGGCCGUAAUCAGACAUCGGCCUAAGAAAAUUGUUAAUUUAGCCGAAGAACAAAGGCCACCUAUUUUUUCGGUCGAGGCUGAAAAUAUGGUCGGCCAAGAAGACAAACCUAGGCCACCUAUUUUUUCGGUCGAGACUGAAAGUGUGGUAGGCCUAGAUGAAGAAAUUCAAGUUUUUGAGCCACAAAUCGACUCAGAAAAUAAUUCGUCAAAAGAAUGCUCCAAUGACGAACGAGGCCGAGAUAUUGGCCUAGCCCAAGAAUCUACGCCAAUUGAUAUGAUUAUUGGCGAUAAAGUCGAUAUGGAGAAAUCCUAUUCGGCUAAGUUGUUUGAAUUAAACGCCGAAAUUAUGCCUGGGGGGCAUAAUACUUGUUCCACACAUUCGGCGGCCGAAAAUGCAAAAUAUUUCACCAAGUCAGAAAUAUUGGGAGAUGAUCUUUUAUUCGGUUUUGGAAAAUGUCAAAGUGAAAAUUUUGAUGUAAAAAGAUCUCGGCUUGGAAUAAAGCAUCGUUGGCCUCCUCCUGACUACGUUUCGGCCACUUUUCUUUUCGUUUGCU